rnacentral:lncRNA from 1 species
GCGAAGGCGAGGGGAGAGAGAGAGAGAGAGAGAGAGAGAGAGAGAGAGAGAGGUUUUUGCAGGGACAAAUUUGUAAGGAUAUAUAAAGUAGUAAUUUACGUACGUACCCACCAUUAAAAAACUAAUGAUGAAUCAAACAACAGGGACAUAUAUGAACGAACCAAAAUUUUUGGAGGAAUAUAUUUGCAAAACUAGAGAAUUUUCGAGAGAAUAAAUCUGAUCAUUUAAGUUUUAUAGGAAUUUAUCUAUUAUUUGUUAAUUUUACAAAAACUAAGAAACUUGUAUGAACUUAGUCCUAGAAAACAAUGCAGUACACUACAUAAAAAUCUUCAAAACAAUCAUUCCUUAGUGCUAGGGAUGCAAACGGGGUGGGUCCGGGGGCUGAAGGGUUCCCCCACCUCCAGCUCCAUUUCUUAUUGGGGCGGAGCAGAUUCGGGGUGGAUUAUUUUUUAUUUUAUUUUUGUCUCCCACUUACCGUCCAUUCGGGCUGGAUCAGGUUGGGAGAGGAUUUUUGGUAGAUUUUUGAUGAAUCGGGAUGGAUUGAAGGAAGAAAAGGGUCUCCCGCCUCUUGCUCCAUUUACUUGGCGGAUCGGGGCGGAUUAUAUUUUUCUAUAUUUUUUGUUCCCACUUACCGCCCCAUUCGGAGCGGAUCGGGACGAGAG